rnacentral:rRNA from 1 species
ACUCCUACGGGAGGCAGCAGUGGGGAAUAUUGCACAAUGGGGGAAACCCUGAUGCAGCCAUGCCGCGUGUGUGAAGAAGGCCUUCGGGUUGUAAAGUACUUUCAGCAGUGAGGAAGGCGGGUACGUUAAUAGCGUGCUUGUUUGACGUUAGCUGCAGAAGAAGCACCGGCUAACUCCGUGCCAGCAGCCGCGGUAAUACGGAGGGUGCGAGCGUUAAUCGGAAUUACUGGGCGUAAAGCGCAUGCAGGUGGUUUGUUAAGUCAGAUGUGAAAGCCCGGGGCUCAACCUCGGAAUUGCAUUUGAAACUGGCAGACUAGAGUACUGUAGAGGGGGGUAGAAUUUCAGGUGUAGCGGUGAAAUGCGUAGAGAUCUGAAGGAAUACCGGUGGCGAAGGCGGCCCCCUGGACAGAUACUGACACUCAGAUGCGAAAGCGUGGGGAAGCAAAACAGGAUUAGAUACCCUGGUAGGAUAGCG